rnacentral:rRNA from 1 species
CAAUAGCGUAUAUUAAAGUUGUUGCGGUUAAAGCUCGUAGUUGGAUUUCUGCUGAGGACGACCGGUCCGCCUCUGGGUGGAGUAUCUGGCUUGGCCUUGGCAUCUUCUUGGAGAACGUAGCUGCACUUGACUGUGUGGUGCGGUAUCCAGGACUUUUACUUUUGAGGAAAUUAGAGUGCUCAAAGCAGGCUAUUACGCCUGAAUAUUCGUGCAUGGAAUAAUAGAAUAGGAAGUCGUUUCUAUUUUGUUGGUUUCGGAAAUCGACUUAAUGAUUAAUAGGGACAGUCGGGGGCAUUUGUAUUCAAACGACAGAGGUGAAAUUCUUGGACCGUUUGAAGACAAACUACUGCGAAAGCAUUUGCCAAGAAUGUUUUCAUUAAUCAAGAA